GAUUGUUGUGGCCACCGCAGUGCUGCUUUUCAGAUCCUGGGGUUGGAUUGUGCCUCCUUGAAGAUGCAAGAUCCUGUCAUCUGUGAAUGAAGAUGAUUGUACUUCCUUUCCAAUGUAGAUGAUUUUUAUUUAUUUCUGUUGCCAAAUUGUCCCGGCUAGCACAUCUAGUACAGGAAUAUGUAGAUGUGGUGAGAAUGGAUAUACUGACCUUGUCGUUGAUCCCAGAAAAUCUGAUCACUGUUUAUAGGUACCAGUUAUUGUUGGCUACAUCUGCUUGAUACAAAUAGAGGAGUUAAGCUGCAAGGGACUCUAAGUUUUAUUGCUUCUGUAAGAAAUCAUUGCAAACAUAAUGGCUUUAAACAGCCGAAAUUUAUUCUUCCACAAUCCUGAAGGACAGAAGUACGAAAUCAGUAUCGUUGGAUUAAUAUCAAACAGAGAUGGGGAGAUGACAGCAGUGUGAAACACCUUCAAAAUUUUAGGUGGAGGGCUUUUGGAGACCACCGAACCGACAGAGCUAGGUGAAGAGAGAGGGCUGAGUCUAGAUGGAGAGCAGGAGACAGAGCCCAGCCCACUUGGAGCACCUCGCCUGCGACUUUGACUGAGCGCACAAAACAUUUUCCAGCCCCGUAGAACCGUGUAGUGUCCCGCUUAUUGCUCUCUUCAUCUUUUGCAAGCAUCACGAUCUUCCCCCCACCCGCUCCCACCCCCACACUGCAUGUGGGGUGCUGUGUUUAUGCAAGCACCGUGGAGUAUAUGCAUAUAUGAAGAUUGCUAUUUCUCAUGCUCACUUUUUCUCUGCAUUCCUCAUUCCUCUUAAGAACUCUGCCUUCAAAUUCUUGUGGCCUCAUUUCUCUGAACACCCACCAUGGUCAUUUCAACUCAGCACAUCUCCAUGCUUCUGUGUGGUGUGGACAGCUGGAGCACACUGUGACCCACCAGACUUACCUUUCUUGUUUUCCAUUUAAAUAUAAUCUUUUCUCAGUGGUUGAAGAGAAGACGACAUACUUCUCACUCGCCUUUACAUUCAUGUCAACAAGGGGUGUGUGUUUCUGCUCAGAGUGAUUCAUGAACCGAGGCUGUUUCUGGUUCUGCGCUCUUAGAGUUACUUCAUCUCGAGCACAUUUCAGGUUGCACACUGGUUCUUCCAUGCUUUAUUGGAUGUUAUUCACAGGCGAUAACUUGUCUUCUGAUGCUGCAUAACUGUAAGGGAGCAUAGAAACAUGGGGAUGGGAUGGAACAUUUAUCUCCAUGGCUUCAACACACUGAGCAUGGUCCCUGCCCAUGACAGGAGAUGUCUGCUCUCCCAAGUCAAGUCAGAAGGAAAUUUGUCAGCACCUAAAUUGGUAGAAAAGUAAUUCCCCAAGAAAGAUAAAGCUGGACAUUAUUCCCAUUGGUUAGGACAGAUCUUCAUUAGUAAUAAACUAUUGUAGUAGGAAAAAUAGUAAGGAAAAGUCAACUUCAAUUUGUACCAAAGUGACUAUACAUUUUAAAGUGAAUAGUAGAAAUGACGGGGCAGCCAGGGGAUCAGUCCCAUUUGAGCUGUGAAUAAGUGCAAAAGCAGGAAGGGGGUUGGCUCAUGAAAAAUGCAUCUGAAAUUCUAACCCCUGGUUUAUCACCAUUUUUUUCUUAUCUUGUUGGGGAACGCUUUACUCUGUCUGUUCUCAGGUGAUCUUCAAGACUUACUCCCUCCACCAGCCUGUGAGCCAUUUAUUGAUGAAGAGUAUGACGAAUUCAUUGUGGGAAUGAAGCAGAUUGGAGGGUCCAGAAACCAACAUUGAGAAGAAAGAGACAGUAAAGGGGUAACAAUUCACCUGCAAUGCAUUCUGAUUACGGCCUGCAGGUCCUGGUGUCAGAAUGCCUCACUCAAACUGCAUCAGAAAAGACAAAUCAGAGAGGGAGAAAGCGUUUAGUUCUUAAGAGGAGAGGCAUUAAGUGUUAGAAUGAAGGUGAAGAAAGAAAGAGUUCUGAGAAGGAGAGAACGGAGAGCUCCUGAUAAGGGUGAAUCAAGCACUUCUGUGGCACAUCUGAGUAACCUAAGGUGCCCUGCACUGUUAGGCACCUGAAGCUCCUUUCUUUCACCCUAUUGAAAACAUUUACUCAUGGUGACCCCACUUCACAUAUUCUAUAUGAAUAAUGCAUACUGGUGCAUUUGGGUUAAGAUAUUUAUUUUAGGCCUGUGGCCAAGGAGUCUCUCUCUCUCUCUCUCUCUCUCUCUCUCUCUCUCUCACACACACACACACACACAAACACACACACACACAUACACGCAUGCGCGUGCACGCACACACGCAUGCAAGCACAGUAGGAAAUAAGACCUUUCUUUUUACAUGCAGAUUUCUAUGAUGACCACAUUACAAGGAAGUGGUAACUUGGUGAACACAUUUCAAUGGCAAAAAAAGUGACUUAGAAUAAUUUGUGGCUUUCAUGUAUUUUUGAAAUUCAGCCCAUGGUAAGAAGUACAUUUCAUAUUACAACCCACUACACAAUUGUACAGCCUUGAACAACUGAAGCACAUUAUCACACAUGAAAAACUGAAAUUUACAGAGUGUGAUACUGUCUGAUAUAUUAUUUUUCAUUAC